ACUUGGGCCUGAUGCAAGGAAACAACCUCCAGCCACCUUCCCCCAGGCCUUUAGAGCGCUGGUCUUUGCACAGAGAAGCACCACAGAGGACAGAAGCCUCCAGGACUCACCCUUCCCCAUUUCUGGCCCUAUCAGGCAGCCACAGAACAGCCGACCAGGCGCAGGUGGUUCCUGGUCUCGUGCACCACCCUCAAGAGAACACACAGAGACUUAGAAUUAGAGCAGGACUCAGCCCAUUCCCCAGGGCUCACCUAGCUGCCAUCGGAUCCACACAUGGACACAGGUGGGUCCCGGGUAUUUGCCUCCCUCGCUGCCUCUGCCCUGCCAGCUGUGCCCUCCACGCUUGCCCGCCCCACUGCAAUAAUGCAGAAGCACACAGCUGGCUGAGGCUGGGAGGCCCCCUUCAGGGCCGUAGUGUGGAGUACCAACAACAUACAUGUGGCUGGGGCUGGGUGACGCAUGCCACCUAUGGUGAGCGUGGCACCAGUCAGGCUGCAGAGAGGCAGAGGAUAGCCCACACCAGGGCUCUCAGUGUGGGGAACUGCCCACGCUCUCAUUUCCAGUGUGAAUUCUCUCCUAUCUCUAAGUGGAGGGAAGGAGCAGGAACAUUUUCCCCAAGGCCCAGAGCCGUUAAAUCAGGGGUUGGUGCUCAGCCCUGGCCACACAUUAGAAUCACCUGGAGAAGCUGUACUACACUGACAUCCAAGCCCUGCUCCAGAGCAAUUACACCAGAAUGUGUGGUGGGUUGGAGUAGGAGAAGCAGGCAUUGGUAUUCUGAUAUGAGGACGGGUGAGUGCCAAGGUCUCAGCCCCAUAACAAGGUGAGGUCCUACAGGCCACGUGGUAGCACGUGGGAAAUUGUCCUCUCUUCUCAGGGGGGGCCAAUGUUCACACAGGCAGGGGAUGGAGAGUGGGCCUGAUCUGAGAAGGUGGAACCCAAAACUCCUGAAGGGGACAGUGUGACAGAAGGUUCUACUUAAGGGCCACUGCCACUGUCCUUAUCCCAGGGAUACCUAGUGUUCUCCUAAAGGAGACUUCUCAAUAUAACCAGGUGGAACGGUAGAAAGAAUCCAGAUUUGAUUUGAUUUUACCCCUCAAAAGCCCUGAAGAAUCUAGAUUGUAGAGGCAGGCAGAACCACAUACGAGUCUUGGGUCUGCCACUUACUAGCCAUGGGAUGUGCAGAGGAGACCUGUUCUCAGAGCCUCAGUUUCCUCACCUAGGAAAUAGGGUGAUGAUAUCUACUGUAUAGGGCAGGUGUUGUAGGAGUAAAUAAGCUGAGCUACAGAAAUCUCCCAGCCAACUGCCUGGUCCACCCAGGGACAGAAAACCACUCAUCUGCUCACACCCCUUCACUCACUCCUCCCUCUGCCUCAGAGCUCCACAAAGCCCUGGGUCCUCUGAAGCCUAGAAGGGCCAGGCCAGGCCCUGGGCUCCAGGAGCUCAGGAGGGGCUGUUACCUCAUCCUCUUGCCGUGUGUGACUAAGGACGCUUGAUACUUCUGCACGCACUCCUCCUGGAACACCUGCAGGAGUCUUUUGGCUAAAUGACUGAAAUUCACCCUAGAACGACAGGGAACCAAGGUGCAGAUGAGCUGCCAGAACCACUAUGCACAAGCCCACCAUCCCUCAGUCUCCGUCAGUCUCCGUCACCACCUCGUCGUAAGUGCCCAAGCCCUGCGUCCACAGCAAGGCUAUAUCUCUGGGAAAGGAGGAAGGAUGGUCACACACUUGGAUUGUGAAGGCUGCAGUGGCCAGCAAAGCCCACAUCAACAGGGAGACGUGGGAGACGCACAGGGGAUCCUCAGGGAACACACAUGUGCUCAAGCUUAGUCCUCAGGAAAGGGAAGGGAAAGUGAGGCAGCCGUGGAAAGAAGGUAUGUGAGUGCGUGUGUGUGUGAGACAAAAAGGGGUCGGGGUGCUUGUAGAACUGGGGGAGUGAGUUCCCAGAUAACCAUUAAAUCAGGGAGGGCCUCCUGGACGUGAGUGUGUCCGGGAAACAUGGGAGACAGAGGAGCCGGGGGAGGCAGGGAAGGUUCAGGCAGAGGGCAGAAGCAGGAAGUGGUAAGUGGUGCAUCAGUGAGGACAACUAGAG
rnacentral:antisense_RNA from 1 species